GGAGGGUGCCGGUCAGCGGAGCCGUGCGAUGUAUUUGAAAAGCAAUCAGUCCGACCUUCCCCCAUAGAUUCAUCCUGCCCGAAAAUCAUAAGCGUGGUUUUUCCUGUUUCCUGCUCUGUAGCUGACAUCAGGGGAGCAAUGUGAACACAGGAAAAUGGAAAUCAACAUUUGAAACUUUUAAAUGGAAGCUUUAUUGGGUUUCCACAUAUGGAAAACUGCAAAUAGCAGAAGUAUGUGACUCAAUAAAUUAUUCUGGAGUGACCACAUCCUCUAACUGCCUCCCAGGACAAGAAGGAGAAUGUGAACAAUGCUCCUGAAGGCCCCUUUCCCUCAAAGAAUCACUGCAAUUGAAGGAAAAAUGCUCCAUGUCCCCUCUGCCAGUUGGUGUUUAUCAAAGGACAACGGAGGAAGAGAGACAAAGUGCCUGGAUGUGUGUGUUAAUCAAGAGUUGUCAGGACCCUGCCUCUAAAAGAAAGCGCUAAAAUGAUGCUUUUGACAAGACUUUUCUCAAAGUGGAUGCAGUCUAAGGGUUGGAAAACAAGGCCCAAUCAGGCUAGGUCUGACUUGUCGCCUGCUUUUGUAAAUAAAGUUUUAUUGGCUCACAGAC
rnacentral:antisense_RNA from 1 species